rnacentral:rRNA from 1 species
UUCUUGUCACACCAUAAGAAGUAAUUCCUGCCCAGUGACUAAUAUUCAACGGCCGCGGUAUCCUAACCGUGCAAAGGUAGCAUAAUCACUUGCCCGUUAAUUGCGGGCUAGAAUGAAAGGAUCUACGAAAUAAAAACUGUCUCUAUAAGCCUGAUAAAAAUUAACCUCUAACUGAAGACUGUUAGAUACCGUCGAAGGACAAGAAGACCCUAUAGAGCUUCAUUUUAAUAGAAAAAUAAUAUCCUAAUAAAAUUCGGUUGGGGCGACCCGGGAUCAAAUAAUCAUCCCGCAAAACCAGAUAAAUAAAUCUCCAUAAUGACCCUUAAUUAAGAUCAAGAGAACAAGCUACCUUAGGGAUAACAGGCUAAUCCCACUAAAGAGUCCUUAUCAAUAGUGGGGUUUGGCACCUCGAUGUUGGCUUAGGUAAUCUAUGCGGCGCAAAAGUCACAUAAAGAUGGUUUGUUCAACCAAAAAUACCCUACAUGAGCUGAGUUCAGACCGGCGUAAGCCAGGUUAGCUUCUAUCCUCGACAAAAAUACCUACUUAUAGUACGAAAGGACCUAAGUAAGGAUAACAUUUAUAUUUAAGGAAUUCAUAUAAAUUUAAAUUUCAACCAUGUAUCAACACACACUAUG